AGCGAACGCUGGCGGCAUGCCUAACACAUGCAAGUCGACCGAGACCUUCGGGUCUAGUGGCGCACGGGUGCUUAACGCGUGGGAACCUGCCCUUAGGUUCGGAAUAACUCCCCUAAAGGGGUGCUAAUACCGGAUAAUGUCUUCGGACCAAAGAUUUAUCGCCUUUGGAUGGGCCCGCGUUGGAUUAGCUAGUUGGUAGGGUAAAAGCCUACCAAGGCGACGAUCCAUAGCUGGUCUGAGAGGAUGAUCAGCCACACUGGGACUGAGACACGGCCCAGACUCCUACGGGAGGCAGCAGUGGGGAAUAUUGGACGAUGGGCGAGAGCCUGAUCCAGCAAUGCCGCGUGAGUGAUGAAGGCCUUAGGGUUGUAAAGCUCUUUUACCCGGGAUGAUAAUGACAGUACCGGGAGAAUAAGCUCCGGCUAACUCCGUG
rnacentral:rRNA from 1 species